CCCAGCAAUGGGCAACCGGCGAACGGGUGCGUAACACGUGAGCAACCUACCGAAUUGUGGGGGAUAGCCGGCCCAACGGCCGGGUAAUACCGCAUACGAUCGAGACGAGGCAUUUCGACUCGAUGAAAUCUACGGAGCAAUUCGAGGGGCUCGCGGCCUAUCAGCUAGUUGGCGAGGUAACGGCUCACCAAGGCGACGACGGGUAGCUGGUCUGAGAGGAUGGCCAGCCACAUUGGGACUGAGAUACGGCCCAGACUCCUACGGGAGGCAGCAGUGGGGAAUCUUGCGCAAUGGCCUAACGGCUGACGCAGCGACGCCGCGUGAGGGAUGACGCUCUUCGGAGUGUAAACCUCUUUUGCCCGGGACGAAUUGCCAACAUUCGUUGGCUUGACGGUACCGGGUGAAUAAGCACCGGCUAACUCCGUGCCAGCAGCCGCGGUAAUACGGGGGGUGCGAGCGUUGUCCGGAAUCACUGGGCGUAAAGGGCGCGUAGGUGGUCUGAUAAGGGUGUGGUGAAAGCCCGGGGCUCAACCCCGGGUCGGCCGUGCCGACUGUUGGACUAGAGUGCUGUAGGGGCAGGCGGAAUUCCGGGUGUAGCGGUGGAAUGCGUAGAGAUCCGGAGGAAGACCGGUGGCGAAGGCGGCCUGCUGGGCAGUUACUGACACUGAGGCGCGACAGCGUGGUGAGCAAACAGGAUUAGAUACCCUGGUAGUCCACGCCGUAAACGAUGGGUACUAGGUGCCUGGGGGAGCGACCCCUUGGGUGCCGGCGCUAACGCAGGAAGUACCCCGCCUGGGGAGUACGG
rnacentral:rRNA from 1 species